UAAUUUCAAAUAAAGGCCUCAGUGAGGGCUCACGCAUCUCGCAAGCACUUUUCAAGUUACUAUUAAGGGCAUUUUAGUCCAAGGGUUUUUUUCUUUAUUUAUUCUCUAUUCUUCUUCUUUCUUCUUCCUACAGCUGACUCUCCAAUUCAUCUUCUUUCUUUCCCUCCUUUUCUUCUUCCUUAGCAUGCUGAACGAAACUCCUUCGCCAUGAACAAAAGCACAAAGUAGAAUCGAUAUCCAAGUCGGUUUAAAUCAACUAGUAAAAAGAGUCUCGACUGAAUAGUAGCAGAAGGAAGAAUUAUCAAUAAGUCAAAAAUGAUUAUGUCUCUUUGUGCUUACAACCAAAGAUUGAUAUGAACCAAGAGAAGCAAAAAUUGAAAUUCUCAACCAUUUCGAGUCAAAGAUGGAUUGGAAUGGAGACAAAGAAUUAUGUCCUAUUGUGCUUACAACCAAACCAAAAAAAAAAAAAUGUAUGGACCCGAAAUUCGCUGAAAAUUAAAGAGGUGAAGGAGAAUUGUUUGUUUAUAUAGGAUGGGAUGUUUGUGGGAGGUGGGAAAAUUCUGUAAAAAGAUGUUUAUGGCCUCCUCUCGAUGAUGAUCGCUCUUCCUCAAGUGCACACUCACACAUGAGUCCUUCCUAUUGCCUUCCCUAGCUCUCACCACCUAAAGCAUCGACUGCUCGCCGCCACUCCGGUACAUUCUCCGCGGAAACGUGAUGGAGCUGAGUGACGAACGACUCAUGGGGUUUCACUGGCAAACUGGGGCUUCCGGUUCCACGGGAGGACUGACUAGGUUCUUCUUGACGGAUUCGGGGAGGCUUUGUUCUAGACGUUGAUUUAUCCUGGAGAAUGCACUAGGUUUCUGAUGGGCCGAGAAGGCGAGUGCAAAUCUGUACGUGAGUCCUCAAGCCAAUCAAGGUCCCUGUACCUUUUGAUUCAUUCAAGCACAGAGCCCGAUUGUUCUUUAUUUUAAAGAUGAUGCUCUGUUAUUACGUUUUUGGAUUUGAAAGUUGUUGUUUACAUUUGCAAGUUUUGGCUUUUGGGUAUUUAUGUAUCGCAUCCUUCCAGAAGUUAGUGCUUCUUCUUGAUGAGAUAACAGUGGACCUCAGUGUGUUAGCAAGGGCUGAUCUUUUGAAGUUCCGCAGAAAGGAAUGUGAACAGACAGGAUCGAUAAUUAUCCACGCCACCCAUAUUUUUUAUGGCCUAGAUGAUUGGCCCACA